AGGAUAAACGCUGGCGGCGUGCCUAACACAUGCAAGUCGAACGAGUUUUCUGUCUUCGGAGAGAGAGCGAGUGGCGGACGGGUGAGCAACACGUGGGUGACCUACCUUGCAGUGAGGAAUACCGGCGAGAAAUCGCCGACAAUACCGCAUAGGCUUCCUGUUACAGGGAAGCAAAGUUGCGCAAGCGACGCCUGGAGAUGGGCCUGUGGCCGAUUAGCUAGUUGGGGGGUAACGGCUUCCCAAGGCGACGAUCGGUAGCUGGUCUGAGAGGACGAUCAGCCACACUGGGAUUGAGAACGGCCCAGACUCCUACGGGGGGCAGCAGUGAGGAAUUUUCCGCAAUGGAGGCAACUCUGACGGAGCAACGCCGCGUGCAGGAUGAAGGUUUUCGGAUCGUAAACUGCUUUUCUCGGGGACGAGCAAGGACGGUACCCGAGGAAGAAGCCCCGGCUAACUACGUGCCAGCAGCCGC
rnacentral:rRNA from 1 species